UACCCUGAUGAAAGUCGCUGAAAAGACAUUUGUCGCCACAUCCGGGUACUCUUAAAUAGUGCAUCGCGGGGUGCAUUCCCAAACCCUAUGGUGUUUGAUUACUUCUUGAUGUUAAUCUCGUCUGUUGUCUCGCUUUUCAACCUCGAGAUUUUGUCACAGGCAGCCUAAAGUUUCAGCAAUCGGCACAGAAAAAAAUUCCGUGUAAAUAUUGAGACAGUACAUCUUAAUGCAAACACAGAUGCUGACAUGAGGCUAAAGUGUUUGAAAAACACAGAAGUGCGUGCGUGCGUUCGUCAACAAAAGAGGAAGAUGGACACGCAUGCACCGACACAUUGAGAAGCACAGAUAACCGACUGUUUGUACUGAAGUACACUUAGAAGCUUUCGAAAGGAGAUAAGUUCCGUCUCCUGGCAACACAGUUACAAGAGGGAAGUGAAGAUUGAUGCGACAUGGCCCGGAUGUCAUCCGCCUUUGCUCAGCAAGCAAGGGCGUUGCCCAGAGCCACUAACGCCGCAGGAAGUGACAACACGCGACAUCCUCGCAAUUCGAAAGCCAUCCGUUAAAGCCAAAGUGCAGAAUAAAGCUUGGAUAGAAAAGGCAUUAUACUGGCACACCCACGUGUCUGUGGGCGAAACUGGAGAUUUACAGCCGACAAAAGGACAUCAAAACAGUUCGACUUAAACAGAUACGCGGGAAGAGCUUUGACUCAAGUAUAGCAACAUUGAAAUGAGUCUUUGCUCGUCCUGUCGUGGGCGACUGUUAUCAGUGUAGGUCUGACACGCAAACAGAUGUCACUUCGUUGUCCCUCGAUCUUGACUGAAACUCGCCGAGUGAACGGAAUCAGCCAGCGUCCCUGAAGGAUGUAGCAAGUACCACUUGUUGAGGGAAGAAUACUUAAUCUUCGCACAUCACAAUCCAGCAGCCCCAGUGGCGCCAGCAUCAGCGAUGAGUCUCAGCGGUAGAGACAUCGGCGCUAUCGUCUGCGGAGCUUUCAUCGUCCUUUGCAUCGUCGUCGUGGCUAUCAUCCACCUGUGUCGCUCGAAUCGUCCAGGAGAAGCUGCAGGUCAGCAGGGGGACAGAUCUACGGAUCGCAAGGAUGACCUGGAGACCCUGCAGAAGGUCAGGCGCCAGCGGUAGAGCAAGGUGAAGGACAUCUAGGACACCUACAUAUAUCGCGAUGAACCAAGCGAGCGAGAUGAAAUCCAUUGACCCUUCGUCGGACAUGAAAGGAUGUUUGAAUCAAUGACAGACAGAAAAGGACAGCAUUACUGCUGCUGUGGUCCUACACGCCAGAUAGGUGAUGAUAAUGGCGGUGGUGGUGGUGGUAGCCAGUCCACGACAAGCAAAUGAAACAAACAAAUGUAAAAUUUUGCAGGAGUAAGUAUGAGACUCUUGUUUUCCUUUCUUACGACUAGAAUCAUGGUUCUGAUUAAACACUCGUUUGUUGAAGAACGAGGAAAAUGAAGGUGGCGAGGGUGGGAGUUGAUGGAAAGAACGUCAGCAGUUCAAGAAUUCAUCCAUUUAUUUACUUAUUCAUUCCCUUGACCUAUGCUGCUUGACCAAACUAGUUAACUCCUGCUGUUCUUUGUAUAUAAUGUAUUCGAGAGAAAUAUUUAUACUCUGAAGAUGUACUUAUAUGCAUGACAACCGUUGAUCUUACAUCUAAGAAGAAAAAUUAUUCAUAUUUGUAUAUUUGUUUUCAUGUUCACAACACUGCUAAGCACGACUUGAAUAGGAUGUGUGUGUAUGAGAGAGAGAGAGAGACAGAAAGAAUUUAAGUAGGCUAUGGCUUAUGCUAAUAUCUUUGGCUAACAUCUCGGUGUAUUUUUAAAUAAAUAUAUAAAUAUUUUUGAGAUAUUAUAUACUUGUCUGUAUUCCUCUUUUUAAGGCCCGGCAGAAAAUAAGUAAACGAAUUUUUUUCUCGUGAGACAAUAAAACUGUAUUGAGUUCAUA
rnacentral:lncRNA from 1 species